rnacentral:rRNA from 1 species
UCAAAAACAUCGCCUUUUGAUUACCAUAAAAGGUCCAGCCUGCCCAGUGACUACAGUUAAACGGCCGCGGUACCCUAACCGUGCAAAGGUAGCAUAAUCACUUGUCCCCUAAAUAGGGACUAGUAUCAACGGCAUCACGAAGACUACGCUGUCUCCCCCGUAAAAUCAAUGAAACUAAUCUCCUCGUGAAGAAGCGAGGAUAAACAUAUAAGACGAGAAGACCCCAUGGAGCUUUAAACAAACUUCAAUUGCUCCCUACUACACCAUAAAAAUUGAGCAGUACUGAUUGUUAGUUUUAGGUUGGGGCGACCGCGGAGUAAAACAAAACCUCCACAAUGAACGUAAUAAAAUUCUAAUAAAAGAACCACAAUUCUAUAAAUCAAAAAAUUGACAUAAAUUGACCCAAACGCUUGAUCAAUGAACCAAGUUACCCUGGGGAUAACAGCGCAAUCCAUUUCAAGAGCCCUUAUCGACAAAUGGGUUUACGACCUCGAUGUUGGAUCAGGGUAUCCUAGUGGUGUAGCCGCUACUAAAGGUUCGUUGUUCAACGAUUAAAACCCUACGUGAUCU